AGCCCGCUCAGAAACUUAAAGGAAUUGACGGGGACCCGCACAAGCAGCGGAGCAUGUGGUUUAAUUCGAAGCAACGCGAAGAACCUUACCAGAUCUUGACAUCCAAUUGACCAUCUUUUAAUCGAGAUUUUGCCUUCGGGUACAAUUGAGACAGGUGGUGCAUGGUUGUCGUCAGCUCGUGUCGUGAGAUGUUGGGUUAAGUCCCGCAACGAGCGCAACCCUUGUGUUUAGUUGCAAACAGGUCAAGCUGUGCACUCUAGACAGACUGCCGUGGACAACACGGAGGAAGGUGGGGAUGACGUCAAAUCAUCAUGCCCCUUAUGAUCUGGGCUACACACGUGCUACAAUGGCCGGUACAACGGGCAGCGAAGGAGCGAUCCGGAGCGAAUCCUAAAAAGCCGGUCCCAGUUCGGAUUGCAGGCUGAAACUCGCCUACAUGAAGUUGGAGUUGCUAGUAAUCGCGAAUCAGAAUGUCGCGGUGAAUGCGUUCCCGGGUCUU
rnacentral:rRNA from 1 species